GACGAACGCUGGCGGCGUGGAUUAGGCAUGCAAGUCGAACGGUAUCAUCCUUUCGGGGGUGAGAGAGUGGCGAACUGGUGAGUAACACGUAGGUUAUCUACCCUCAAGACGGGGACAACCCAGGGAAACUUGGGCUAAUACCGGAUGUGAGCAACUUUUAGUUGUUUGAAAGGUGGCGUAAGCUGUCGCUUGGGGAUGAGCCUGCGUCCUAUUAGUUAGUUGGUGAGGUAACGGCUCACCUAGGCAAUGAUAGGUAGGCGGCCUUAACGGGUGGUCGCCCACACUGGGAUUGAGAUACGGCCCAGACUCCUACGGGAGGCAGCAGUCGAGAAUAGUCUACAAUGGUCGGAAGACUGAUAGUGCGACGCCGCGUGAACGAUGAAUCCCUUCGGGGUGUAAAGUUCUUUUAUAUGUGAGCAGUGCUUCUUAUAUUAACAGUAUGGGGAGAGGAAGAUAUUAGCAUAUGAAUAAGCAACGGCUAACUCCGUGCCAGCAGCCGCGGU
rnacentral:rRNA from 1 species